UGGGGGAUAUUGCACAAUGGGCGAAAGCCUGAUGCAGCGACGCCGCGUGGGGGAUGAAGGCCUUCGGGUUGUAAACUUCUUUUGCUCUGAACAAGGCGCACCAUGGGGUGUGUUGAGUGUAGGGGUUGAUUAGCGCCGGCUAACUACGUGCCAGCAGCCGCGGUAAUACGUAGGGCGCGAGCGUUGUCCGGAAUUAUUGGGCGUAAAGGGCUUGUAGGUGGCUGGUUGCGUCUGUCGUGAAAGCUCAUGGCUUAACUGUGGGUUUGCGGUGGGUACGGGCUGGCUUGAGUGCAGUAGGGGAGGCUGGAAUUCCUGGUGUAGCGGUGGAGUGCGCAGAUAUCAGGAGGAAUACCGGUGGCGAAGGCGGGUCUCUGGGCUGUUACUGACACUGAGGAGCGAAAGCAUGGGGAGCGAACAGG
rnacentral:rRNA from 1 species